rnacentral:rRNA from 1 species
GACGAACGCUGGCGGCGUGCUUAACACAUGCAAGUCGAACGGUGAAGCUCCAGCUUGCUGGAGUGGAUCAGUGGCGAACGGGUGAGUAACACGUGAGCAACCUGCCCCUGACUCUGGAAUAAGCGCUGGAAACGGCGUCUAAUACUGGAUACGAGAAGGGUCCGCAUGGGCACUUUCUGGAAAGUUUUUCGGUUGGGGAUGGGCUCGCGGCCUAUCAGCUUGUUGGUGAGGUAAUGGCUCACCAAGGCGACGACGGGUAGCCGGCCUGAGAGGGCGACCGGCCACACUGGGACUGAGACACGGCCCAGACUCCUACGGGAGGCAGCAGUGGGGAAUAUUGCACAAUGGGCGAAAGCCUGAUGCAGCGACGCCGCGUGAGGGAUGACGGCCUUCGGGUUGUAAACCUCUUUCAGCAGGGAAGAAGCGAAAGUGACGGUACCUGCAGAAGAAGCACCGGCUAACUACGUGC